AAGGGACUUAUGAUAUUCACACAUAACAUCCCAGAAUUUUGUUAUUCUACGUUGUUACAAGUACUUCAACGGAAUGGCUAAGCUAUUGAUGCUGUUAUUGCUAGUGGGAUUUUUGGCGAUAACAAUUCUGCCUGAAUUUGCCGAAGCUCAAUAUGGGUGUUAUCCCUUCUGUCCAUAUGGCACUCGUGCCUGUGGGUACUGUAGAAGAUACCCCUACCGGCUUUACAGAUGUUGCAGCGGCGGAGGAGGACACCCAUACGCAUACGCAUACUAGUACUAAAGGAUUUCGUUAAGGACACUUAAACAACAAUUGACCAAUACCAGUGCUACCAACAAAAAGGCACCAGCAAAGAACAAAGAUUACGUUACCAAAAAUAAAAUAAGCAAUUCAUUUGAAACUUUCUGUUUUUUUCUUUAUGUUUCCCCCUCAUCUUACAUAUAAACACAAAUGAAAUGAAAUUUGAUAAUAAAUGUGAUACAUUA